CGCACCUUGCGCCCUUUGGUAUUCCGAAGGGCAUGCCUGUUUGAGUGUCAUGAAACCUCAUCCUAAUCAGGUUUCUGAUUAGUGAUGGUUUGGGUGUCUGCCGUGUAUACGGCUCGCCUUAAAAGCAUUAGCGAUGUUUGGAUGUAAUAAGUUUCGUCCUUAUGCAACGCUGCUAAAACCCCAUACUUUCAAAUCUGACCUCAAAUCAGGUAGGGCUACCCGCUGAACUUAA
rnacentral:misc_RNA from 1 species